rnacentral:rRNA from 1 species
GAUGAACGCUGGCGGCGUGCCUAAUACAUGCAAGUCGAGCGAAUGGAUUAAGAGCUUGCUCUUAUGAAGUUAGCGGCGGACGGGUGAGUAACACGUGGGUAACCUGCCCAUAAGACUGGGAUAACUCCGGGAAACCGGGGCUAACACCGGAUAACAUUUUGAACCGCAUGGUUCGAAAUUGAAAGGCGGCUUCGGCUGUCACUUAUGGAUGGACCCGCGUCGCAUUAGCUAGUUGGUGAGGUAACGGCUCACCAAGGCAACGAUGCGUAGCCGACCUGAGAGGGGGCUCGGCCACACUGGGCCUGAGAAACGGCCCAGACUCCUACGGGAGGAAGCAGUAGGGAAUCUUCCGAAAGGGACGAAAGUCUGACGGAGCAACGCCGCGUGAGUGAUGAAGGCUUUCGGGUCGUAAAACUCUGUUGUUAGGGAAGAACAAGUGCUAGUUGAAUAAGCUGACACCUUGACGGUACCUAACCAGAAAGCCACGGCUAACUACGUGCCAGCAGCCGCCGUAA